rnacentral:rRNA from 1 species
CAGUAGCCGCGGGAAUACGAGGGGGCAAGCGUUGUUCGGAAUUACUGGGCGUAAAGCGUGCGCAGGCGGUUUGUUAAGACAGAUGUGAAAUCCCCGGGCUCAACCUGGGAACUGCAUUUGUGACUGGCAAGCUAGAGUGUGUCAGAGGAUGGUGGAAUUCCCGGUGUAGCGGUGAAAUGCGUAGAGAUCGGGAGGAACAUCAGUGGCGAAGGCGGCCAUCUGGGACAACACUGACGCUGAGGCACGAAAGCGUGGGGAGCAAACAGGAUUAGAUACCCGAGUAGUCCCUGUCUCUUAUACA